rnacentral:rRNA from 1 species
AGAGUUUGAUCAUGGCUCAGGAUGAACGCUAGCGGCAGGCUUAAUACAUGCAAGUCGAGGGGCAGCACAGGAUAGCAAUAUUUGGGUGGCGACCGGCAAACGGGUGCGGAACACGUACGCAACCUUCCUUUAAGUGUGGGAUAGCCCAGGGAAACUUGGAUUAAUACCACGUAAGAUAGCAGAGUGGCAUCACUUAGCUAUUAUAGCUCCGGCGCUUAAGGAUGGGCGUGCGGCUGAUUAGGUAGUUGGCAGGGUAACGGCCUACCAAGCCUUCGAUCAGUAACUGGUGUGAGAGCACGACCAGUCACACGGGCACUGAGACACGGGCCCGACUCCUACGGGAGGCAGCAGUAAGGAAUAUUGGUCAAUGGACGCAAGUCUGAACCAGCCAUGCCGCGUGAAGGAUGACGGCCCUCUGGGUUGUAAACUUCUUUUAUCUGGGAAGAAACCUGCGAUAUCUAUUGCAGUUGACGGUACCAGGUGAAUAAGCACCGGCUAACUCCGUGCCAGCAGCCGCGGUAAUUC